AUAAAAGUUAAUUGAUGUGAAAUUGGACACAUUGGUUUUUAGAAAUUUUGGUUCGAUACAAAGUGGUGAUUGGAUACUUCAAUUGAGACUGAUUAAAGGGAGGAUUCAAGAUGAGGAAAGUGAAUUGAAGUCAGAUUCGGUUGGUUUUGUGCAUAAACGAUAGUACAAUACCUCUUUUGUGGGUGGAUUGAGCAGCUUAACACAAACAAAAGAUUGU
rnacentral:misc_RNA from 1 species